rnacentral:rRNA from 1 species
UACGUAGGGUGCGAGCGUUGUCCGGAAUUACUGGGCGUAAAGAGCUCGUAGGUGGUUUGUCGCGUUGUUCGUGAAAACUCACAGCUCAACUGUGGGCGUGCGGGCGAUACGGGCGGGCUGGAGUUCGGUAGGGGAGACUGGAAUUCCUGGUGUAGCGGUGAAAUGCGCAGAUAUCAGGAGGAACACCGGUGGCGAAGGCGGGUCUCUGGGCCGAUACUGACGCUGAGGAGCGAAAGCGUGGGGAGCGAACAGG